rnacentral:rRNA from 1 species
AUUGAACGCUGGCGGCAUGCCUUACACAUGCAAGUCGAACGGCAGCACGGGGGCAACCCUGGUGGCGAGUGGCGAACGGGUGAGUAAUACAUCGGAACGUGUCCUGUAGUGGGGGAUAGCCCGGCGAAAGCCGGAUUAAUACCGCAUACGCUCUACGGAGGAAAGGGGGGGAUCUUAGGACCUCCCGCUACAGGGGCGGCCGAUGGCAGAUUAGCUAGUUGGUGGGGUAAAGGCCUACCAAGGCGACGAUCUGUAGCUGGUCUGAGAGGACGACCAGCCACACUGGGACUGAGACACGGCCCAGACUCCUACGGGAGGCAGCAGUGGGGAAUUUUGGACAAUGGGCGAAAGCCCUGAUCCCAGCAAAUGCCGCGUGUGUGAAGAAAGGGCCCUUUCGGGUUGUAAAAGCCACUUUUGUCCGGAAAGGAAAACC